AGUUCGACUAUUAAAAUAGUACAAAAUAUCAUAUAGAUUAACUCUAAAGUUAUGAACCGCCAGGAUAAAAAGUUUUUGCAAACGUAGAUCCAAGAUCACUACAACGGAUUCCUUUAAAAAAAAAAAAAAAAAAAAAAAUUUUUUUUUUUUUUUUUUUUUUUAAAGGAAUCCGUUGUAGUGAUCUUGGAUCUACGUUUGCAAAAACUUUUUAUCCUGGCGGUUCAUAACUUUAGAGUUAAUCUAUAUGAUAUUUUGUACUAUUUUAAUAGUCGAACUUUAUGUAGAAAUAAAUCUAUCGUAAUGUGACCAGAGACAAAGGUGGAAGCAGCUUACAAUGAAAUAAUUUGAUGGGCUAUAAAAUUUUUUUUUAAAAAAAAAGCAGACGGAAGGGCUUUAUUCGACCCGUCUUGUAACACGGACCAAGGAGUCCAG
rnacentral:rRNA from 1 species